GUCAUGGUAAUCAUGAGAGCAAAGCUGGCAGGGUUAGGAUGUCACCUGGACCCUGAAUUGUAAGAAUGGCCUUUCAUGGUUCACGAUUAUUUUUAAGGACAGCGAUAAUGUAUAACAGGACUUAGAUGGAUGGGACAAUAGCGCUGAUUGCUAUAGGAUUUUUUCUUUUUAUUCGUGAGGGUCCCUUCUGGAGGCACUUCUAAGCUGUUGGAAAGACAACAAGCCAUCAGGAAGGGCUGCUUCAUAAUCAGUCUUUUCACACACAUGCCGGGAGAGCUGGAUAAAGUGCUUAGGGCUGUGAAGCUGCAGUAACUGAAGGCAUUCUUCACACUUCUCGUACAAUCUGUUGCCUUAACAGUUGAAUCUCCAGUACUUUGAUUUUCCAAGAAUUGUGCCAACAUUCCGUCUUGGAAAAACCCAGCAUCCCAGUUGGCCUAUGAUGCUCCAAGCACUGGGUCAAGGAAUACCUGCUUGAUUCAUAAUCCUUCAGCAUUUCUCCCUAGGAAGAGACAUGAUUUAAUAAGUUGAGCACAGAUCAGGUAACUCUUCAGUUGCGGUCCCAUGCUGGCAGUCAAUUUUUCAGUGACCUUGGGCAAGUCACCUAAUUUCUCUGCAUCAAUUCCCAUAUCUGUCAAAUGGAGCCAGUAACACAUCCCUUCCCUAACAGGGAUGCUUGGUCGCACACUUUCAUUUUUCUUCUGCUUGUUUCAAACAAACAUCUCCCUCCCUUCCACUGGGCCUUUCAUUAAUGGAACUUCAUCAUCACGGCCACCACAUGUUAAGUAGAAGUGUUUGGCAUGUAAUACGAGCUCAUCCAAAAAUAAA